CAUAGCGUAUAUUUAAGUUGUUGCAGUUAAAAAGCUCGUAGUUGGAUUUCGGGCGGGUGACGGCGGUCCGCCUCUGGUGUGCACUGCCGUUCAUCCGCCUUUCUGUCGGGGACGGGCUCCUGGGCUUCACUGUCCGGGACUCGGGUUCGACGAGGUUACUUUGAGUAAAUUAGAGUGUUCAAAGCAGGCGAUCGCCCUGAAUACAUUAGCAUGGAAUAGCACGAUAGGACUCUGGCCUAUUUUGCUGGUCUGUAGGACCGGAGUAAUGAUUAAGAGGGACAGUCGGGGGCAUUCGUAUUUCAUUGUCAGAGGUGAAAUUCUUGGAUUUAUGAAAGACGAACUUCUGCGAAAGCAUUUGCCAAGGAUGUUUUCAUUGAUCAAGAACGAAAGUUGGGGGCUCGAAGACGAUUAGAUACCGUCGUAGUCUCAACCAUAAACGAUGCCGACCAGGGAUUGGAAAGCGUUCUUUUGAUGACCUUUCCAGCACCUUGAGAGAAAUCAGAGUCUUUGGGUUCCGGGGGGAGUAUGGUCGCAAGGCUGAAACUUAAAG
rnacentral:rRNA from 1 species